rnacentral:rRNA from 1 species
UACAGAGGGGGCAAGCGUUGUUCGGAAUUACUGGGCGUAAAGGGCGCGUAGGCGGCCUGCUAAGUCGAACGUGAAAUCCCUGGGCUCAACCCAGGAACUGCGUCCGAUACUGGUUGGCUUGAAUCCGGGAGAGGGAUGCGGAAUUCCAGGUGUAGCGGUGAAAUGCGUAGAGAUCCGGAGGAACGCCAGAGACGAAGGUGGCUACCUGGCCCUGACCUGACACUGAGGCGCGAAAGCGUGGGGAGCGAACCGG